CCUACGGGUGGCUGCAGUGGGGAAUAUUGCACAAUGGGCGCAAGCCUGAUGCAGCCAUGCCGCGUGUGUGAAGAAGGCCUUCGGGUUGCAAAGCACUUUCAGCGGGGAGGAAGGCGGUGAGGUUAAUAACCUCAUCGAUUGACGUUACCCGCAGAAGAAGCACCGGCUAACUCCGUGCCAGCAGCCGCGGUAAUACGGAGGGUGCAAGCGUUAAUCGGAAUUACUGGGCGUAAAGCGCACGCAGGCGGUCUGUCAAGUCGGAUGUGAAAUCCCCGGGCUCAACCUGGGAACUGCAUUCGAAACUGGCAGGCUAGAGUCUUGUAGAGGGGGGUAGAAUUCCAGGUGUAGCGGUGAAAUGCGUAGAGAUCUGGAGGAAUACCGGUGGCGAAGGCGGCCCCCUGGACAAAGACUGACGCUCAGGUGCGAAAGCGUGGGGAGCAAACAGGAGUAGAUACCCGAGUAGUC
rnacentral:rRNA from 1 species